UACCCAGAGCAUGCAUUGUGGA
rnacentral:miRNA from 1 species